AUCGCCAUCACUUCCUGAAGAUUCAACAGGAUGUGGAUCUGGAUUGCCUGAACCAAUAUCCAUCGCAAGUGACCAGAUAACACAGUCUGACAGCCAUGCAGAUUCUCCGCUCCAUCCAAACAUGCAGUGUGGUCAGAGAAAUCCUGAAACAUGUGACAAUUUCAUGUGUACUGAUGAAGUUUGGGCAGCGUGUCCAGAGUGCUUGUGUUUCUUAUGCUUCCUUCAUUUUAACUUACGUGAUGAUUGCCUUUGUCAUAAUCUUGCAUUCAAUCUCAGUGAAAUUCCACUUGACAUCAGUUCAAGUGCAUCACAGUACCAAGGGCUCACCAACGAA